GUUUGUUCUGCGUGAUGGCACACCCAGAGUCCCAGUGCUAAGGCUUGAGAGUGCACCGCUGCAGAAACUACACUACAGGGUCCAGGAUGGAACAUCAGUCAUUUACUAUCCCUCAGGUCAAGUUGCCGUGUGUCAGAGUCACUCUGGCUUGGGCUCUGGUGGUUUCUAUACACACGUGUACAGUGAUACAUCCCCAGCAUGUGUUUUGGCAACUGUCACAGCGUUUGGUCAUGGAACUGUCUCACAGCCUCAGAGUGGAGUGAUUUCUUCUGUAUGGGAUCAGAAUGGGGGGAUGAUGUUGGACCCAACUGGGAAAGUGUCCAAGAAGUGGAGCUGGUGCUCGGGCAAAAG